rnacentral:rRNA from 1 species
CGAUAAAGCGGGUGAAAAGCCCGCUCGCCGGAAGACCAAGGGUUCCUGUCCAACGUUAAUCGGGGCAGGGUGAGUCGACCCCUAAGGCGAGGCCGAAAGGCGUAGUCGAUGGGAAACGGGUUAAUAUUCCCGUACUUGGUGUUACUGCGAAGGGGGGACGGAGAAGGCUAUGUUGGCCGGGCGACGGUUGUCCCGGUUUAAGCGUGUAGGCUGGUUUUCCAGGCAAAUCCGGAAAAUCAAGGCUGAGGCGUGACGACGAGGCACUACGGUGCUGAAGCAACAAAUGCCCUGCUUCCAGGAAAAGCCUCUAAGCAUCAGGUAACAUCAAAUCGUACCCCAAACCGACACAGGUGGUCAGGUAGAGAAUACCAAGGCGCUUGAGAGAACUCGGGUGAAGGAACUAGGCAAAAUGGUGCCGUAACUUCGGGAGAAGGCACGCUGACACGUAGGUGAAGUGAUUUACUCAUGGAGCUGAAGUCAGUCGAAGAUACCAGCUGGCUGCAACUGUUUAUUAAAAACACAGCACUGUGCAAACACGAAAGUGGACGUAUACGGUGUGACGCCUGCCCGGUGCCGGAAGGUUAAUUGAUGGGGUCAGCGCAAGCGAAGCUCCUGAUCGAAGCCCCGGUAAACGGCGGCCGUAACUAUAACGGUCCUAAGGUAGCGAAAUUCCUUGUCGGGUAAGUUCCGACCUGCACGAAUGGCGUAAUGAUGGCCAGGCUGUCUCCACCCGAGACUCAGUGAAAUUGAACUCGCUGUGAAGAUGCAGUGUACCCGCGGCAAGACGGAAAGACCCCGUGAACCUUUACUAUAGCUUGACACUGAACAUUGAGCCUUGAUGUGUAGGAUAGGUGGGAGGCUUUGAAGUGUGGACGCCAGUCUGCAUGGAGCCGACCUUGAAAUACCACCCUUUAAUGUUUGAUGUUCUAACGUGGACCCGUAAUCCGGGUUGCGGACAGUGUCUGGUGGGUAGUUUGACUGGGGCGGUCUCCUCCUAAAGAGUAACGGAGGAGCACGAAGGUUGGCUAAUCCUGGUCGGACAUCAGGAGGUUAGUGCAAUGGCAUAAGCCAGCUUGACUGCGAGCGUGACGGCGCGAGCAGGUGCGAAAGCAGGUCAUAGUGAUCCGGUGGUUCUGAAUGGAAGGGCCAUCGCUCAACGGAUAAAAGGUACUCCGGGGAUAACAGGCUGAUACCGCCCAAGAGUUCAUAUCGACGGCGGUGUUUGGCACCUCGAUGUCGGCUCAUCACAUCCUGGGGCUGAAGUAGGUCCCAAGGGUAUGGCUGUUCGCCAUUUAAAGUGGUACGCGAGCUGGGUUUAGAACGUCGUGAGACAGUUCGGUCCCUAUCUGCCGUGGGCGCUGGAGAACUGAGGGGGGCUGCUCCUAGUACGAGAGGACCGGAGUGGACGCAUCACUGGUGUUCGGGUUGUCAUGCCAAUGGCACUGCCCGGUAGCUAAAUGCGGAAGAGAUAAGUGCUGAAAGCAUCUAAGCACGAAACUUGCCCCGAGAUGAGUUCUCCCUGAGACUUAGAGUCUCCUGAAGGAACGUUGAAGACGACGACGUUGAUAG